rnacentral:rRNA from 1 species
UACGGAGGGGGCUAGCGUUGUUCGGAAUUACUGGGCGUAAAGGGUGCGUAGGCGGUUCGUUAAGUCUGUCGUGAAAUCCCCGGGCUCAACCUGGGAAUGGCGAUGGAUACUGGCGAGCUAGAGUGUGUCAGAGGAUGGUGGAAUUCCCGGUGUAGCGGUGAAAUGCGUAGAGAUCGGGAGGAACAUCAGUGGCGAAGGCGGCCAUCUGGGACAACACUGACGCUGAGAAGCGAAAGCAUGGGGAGCGAACAGG